GGCCGGUAAGCUCAGUUGGUUAGAGCGACGUGCUAAUAACGGGAAUGUCGUUUGUUCGAUCCCAAUACUGGCCA
rnacentral:tRNA from 1 species